GGCCUCGUAGCUCAGAUGGUAGAACAUGCGCGUGUAAAGCGUAGGUGGUUUCCAUUCAUGGGUUCGAAUCCCACAGAGGCUA
rnacentral:tRNA from 1 species